AGUGAACGCUGGCGGUAGGCUUAACACAUGCAAGUCGAACGGCAGCUCAGUAAGAGCUUGCUCUUACGGGUGGCGAGUGGUGGACGGGCGAGGGAUACAUCGGAAUCUACUUUUUCGUGGGGGUUAAUGUAGGGAAAAUUAAGCAAAUACCGCAUAUGCCCCAUGGGUGAAAGCAGGGGAUUUUCGGACCUUGAGAGACUGCAUGAGCCGAUGUCGGAUCCGCUAGUUGGCGGGGUAAAGGCCCACUAAGGCGACGCUCCGUAGCUGGUCCGAGGGGAUGGUCAGCCACACGGGAAGUGAGACACAGUCCAGACUCCGACGGGAGGCAACAGUGGGGAAUAUUAGACAAUGGGCGCAAGCCGGAUCCAGCCAUACCGCGUGGGUGAAGAAGGCCUUCGGGUUGUAAAGCCCUUUUGUUUGGAAAGAAGAGCAGCAGGUUAAUACCCCGCUAUUCUGACGGUACCCAAAGAAUAAGCACCGGCUAACUUCGUG
rnacentral:rRNA from 1 species